CAGUCGCCGCGGUAAUACAGAGGGUGCGAGCGUUAAUCGGAUUUACUGGGCGUAAAGCGUGCGUAGGCGGCUAAUUGAGUCGGAUGUGAAAUCCCCGAGCUUAACUUGGGAAUUGCAUUCGAUACUGGUUAGCUAGAGUAUGGGAGAGGAUGGUAGAAUUCCAGGUGUAGCGGUGAAAUGCGUAGAGAUCUGGAGGAAUACCGAUGGCGAAGGCAGCCAUCUGGCCUAAUACUGACGCUGAGGUACGAAAGCAUGGGGAGCAAACAGGAUUAGAUACCCCGGUAGUCCCUGUCUCUUAUAC
rnacentral:rRNA from 1 species